rnacentral:rRNA from 1 species
UACGAAGGGGGCUAGCGUUGUUCGGAAUUACUGGGCGUAAAGCGAGUGUAGGCGGUUUCCUAAGUCAGGUGUGAAAGCCCCGGGCUCAACCCGGGAAGUGCACUUGAAACUGGGAGGCUAGAGUAUCGGAGAGGUUGGUGGAAUUCUCGGUGUAGAGGUGAAAUUCGUAGAUAUCGAGAGGAACACCAGUGGCGAAGGCGAGUCCCUGGACAACACCUGACACUGAGGCACGAAAGCUAGGGGAGCAAACAGG